rnacentral:rRNA from 1 species
AUACGUAGGGUGCGAGCGUUGUCCGGAAUUACUGGGCGUAAAGAGCUCGUAGGUGGUUUGUCGCGUCGUCUGUGAAAUUCCGGGGCUUAACUCCGGGCGUGCAGGCGAUACGGGCAUAACUUGAGUACUGUAGGGGAGACUGGAAUUCCUGGUGUAGCGGUGAAAUGCGCAGAUAUCAGGAGGAACACCGGUGGCGAAGGCGGGUCGCUGGGCAGUAACGGACGCUGAGGAGCGAAAGCAUGGGUAGCGAACAGGAUUAGAUACCCGGGUAGUCCAUGCCGUAAACGGUGGGCGCUAGGUGUAGGGGUCUUCCACGACUUCUGUGCCGUAGCUAACGCAUUAAGCGCCCCGCCUGGGGAGUACGGCCGCAAGGCUAAAACUCAAAGGAAUUGACGGGG